rnacentral:lncRNA from 1 species
GCAGAUGUUCACUUGCUGAGGAGGUUCAAUGGCUUCAACAUCUCUUUCCUUGAUUUUAUUUAUUUAAAAAAAAUAAUAAAUAAAUAAAUAAAUAAAAGAACUCUUCUCUUCGAGAAAUUCUAGCCGGACUUACACAUUGUAAUGCGAAUAUUAUGGAUAUUCCAGCAAACUUUAAAGUAUUCUUAUGAUCCUCUUCUACUAAUUCAUAGAAAUUAUAGUAGACGAAUCAAUGGGUGUUAGAAAACCUUU